GUUGAAACACCGGUUCUCGUACGAUCAGCGAAGUUAAGCAAACUGGAGCUUGGUUUGUACCUAUAUGGGUAAACACUUGAGUAUACCAGGCGCU